CGGCCACAUUGGAACUGAGACACGGUCCAAACUCCUACGGGAGGCAGCAGGGGGGAAUAUUGCACAAUGGGCGAAAGCCUGAUGCAGGAACGCCGCGGGAGUGAUUAAGGCCUUCGGGUCGUGAAACGCUGUCCUCAAGGAAGAUAAUGACGGUACUUGAGGGGGAAGCCCCGGCCAACUACGGGCCAGCAGCCGCGGUAAUACGUAGGGGGCUAGCGUUAUCCG
rnacentral:rRNA from 1 species